rnacentral:tRNA from 1 species
UAGAUGAAUGCUCGCUGGUUUGGGCGCUUAGCUGUUAACUAAGAUUUUGUGGGAUCGAGGCCUUCUCAUCUAU